AAUAUUAGGAAAGUCCUUCUAAAUGUAGCCCAUAUUGUGGAUGAAGGGUUCUGGAAACCUCUCAGGUGACAUCCAACUACUCCGAUUCAAUCUGCCGGUAGGAGGCGGUUGUCGCACCGGAUGCAGCAACACCUGUUUGCCUGUGUGGAUAAAACAGAACGCCGAAAGAUGCAGGUGUCAAACGUUCAGGUGUUGUCGCAGAUACUAUACCAAACCGUGUCUGGUUAUGGCCUUACGUGCAACAUUUAGACGAUGUGUUUCGGUGCUGUCGUGGAUCCCUGUUAUAAUCCUCACAAUGGUGGUCGUGUGGUCAUAUUACGCGUAUGUGGUUCAGCUCUGCCUCAUCACCCUGACAGGCACAGCAAGAAAGGUGAUACAUCUCUUGAUGUUCCAUGUUUGUUUUGGGAUGUUCUCCUGGGCAUUUUGGAGGUCUGUAUUCACCACCCCAUCCUCACCGUCACGAGGGUUCCAGCUCUCUCUGUCGGACAGGCAGCGCUACGCAGAGCAGGAGACUCCAGAGGCUCAGAGACGGGUUCUCCUGGAGAUCUCACAGAAGCUGCCGGUGCAUUCGCGCUCAGCCUCCGGAGGUGUGUACUUAAAAUGGAUCACCACUGUCCAUGGCUGAACAACUGUGUAGGAUUCUCCAACUACAAGUUCUUCCUCCUCUUUCUGGCUUUCUCUCUGCUCUACUGCCUUUUUAUUGUUGCCACAGUCGCGCCCUACUUCGUCAAGUUCUGGCUGGGUCCGUUUUUGAACCACUCGACAGUGAAAGUGCACGUGCUCUUCCUCAUGGUGGUGUCGCUGAUGUUUGCCAUCACACUGUCCUUUUUACUUGGCUUUCACUGCUGGCUGGUCAUCAAGAACAAGACCACUGUUGAGUGGUUGUCAGCUCCUUUCUUUUCCUAUGGACCUGACCGAAGAGCUUUUGAUGUAGGCCUGAAGCCCAAUGUAUUGCAGGUGUUUGGAUCACAAAGAAGAUUUUGGCUGUUACCUGUUUUUAGCAGUCAUGGCGAUGGGCAGGUCUUCCCUCUGAGGAGGAAGCUUUUGCUCCCUUACACUCAUGGCGUACAAUUAAAUGGAUACUGGGAGGAGGCAGAGACACGUAUAGAUGCUGCCAUCGAGGUCAGUAACUCGAGGUGAUCUGUGGGCUGGCUUUUACCCAAUUUAUUUUCUUUCUGGAGCAUCUUGUCAUACUUUUGAUGGGCAUCCACCUCUAGGAAAUGUUGCUGUGAUGUUGAAUGCCCUCCAUUUGCAGUGGAUAAAUGGAGCUGGAAUCUUUUAAAGAGGGUCUUUCCCUACCCUCGUCCUUAUGUUCUUGGAUAUCUCCUUUCCUCUUGGUAUUGUUGAUUCCUGGAAACAUUCAUCUAACGAUUCCUCCGAGUGGAUUUGGGACGUGCAUCAGUCAGAGGUCAGACCAGAUCUCCAUGUGGAAGCUGAAUUGUAUGGCAGUACAACCUCAACCUGUAC